ACCCUUUGUGAACAUACCUAUAACUGUUGCUUCGGCGGGUAGGGUCUCCGCGACCCUCCCGGCCUCCCGCCUCCGGGCGGGUCGGCGCCCGCCGGAGGAUAACCAAACUCUGAUUUAACGACGUUUCUUCUGAGUGGUACAAGCAAAUAAUCAAAACUUUUAACAACGGAUCUCUUGGUUCUGGCAUCGAUGAAGAACGCAGCGAAAUGCGAUAAGUAAUGUGAAUUGCAGAAUUCAGUGAAUCAUCGAAUCUUUGAACGCACAUUGCGCCCGCCAGCAUUCUGGCGGGCAUGCCUGUUCGAGCGUCAUUUCAACCCUCAAGCUCUGCUUGGUGUUGGGGCCCUACAGCUGAUGUAGGCCCUCAAAGGUAGUGGCGGACCCUCCCGGAGCCUCCUUUGCGUAGUAACUUUACGUCUCGCACUGGGAUCCGGAGGGACUCUUGCCGUAAAACCCCCCAAUUUUCCAAAGGUUGACCUCGGAUCAGGUAGGAAUACCCGCUGAACUU
rnacentral:rRNA from 1 species